AUGUUUUUCCUUUUUGUCCUGUCUCUCCAACACAAAGGUUCUUAUGCAAAGCAUACUAGCAAGGAUAGCUCAUCUCCUAUCAAAAUAAGUUCACAAAAUAAUAGUCUUUUCCUAGCCUCUCUAGGACAACCAGCUUCUCUUCAAUGUAGAGAAUAUUCUCAUGCGAUGAAAACAAAGAUUAAAAAUGCCAUUGGGCUAGUAGCCCAGUGGUUGAG
rnacentral:misc_RNA from 1 species